GUGACGGCAAUGGAGGAGGCGAGGCUACCUGAGUGUUUGUGUUUGUCCUGGUUGGAGGGAGAGAGAAUGCGGCUUUAAUUUCAGGAGCAAGGACAUGAGUGCCAGAUUCCCCUUACUUCAUGGUAUCGCUGCGUUAGCUUUCUGCAAGAGGCACGGCUAUCAACCAACUGUUGUCAUCGGCAUUUCGCCUACCUAACCAAAGGUAUCCAAUAUUUUCUACAAAGUUUAUUACCAGAGCAUUUCAAUCAUGUCUGGAAUACAGUUUUUCCUAUUCUGGGAAUUCCUACUGAAUACUUUGUGGCUUCAUUUAGUGUUACGGCGAUAAUCCAUUUGUGGGACAGCUACAAAAUACCAAAGACGCAGGGAUACCUGAUGACAAUCUUAUGCCUCAUAGCUACAACCGAGAUCAACUACAGCACCGAGCAGAUUACAGGCUGAGUAUCAAGAUCUUGAAGAUAACAAGACAGGUUUUAGCUGGUGUGUAGUGUGCAUUUACAGCAGCUUGCACUGAAGUUUUAGUUUGUAUGGACUGUACACAUAUAGGAGCUGUUAUUGAAAGAUUUUAAUUGUUGUAUAAUGUACAUGUAAAAAUAUUGAAAUUCCUAAUUCCUGGUUCUGCUAGCACAAACCAUGAUUGGAAUUCAUUGCUUGGUUUUUUAAAAAAUUCCAUCAUUUUUCAUUGAAAGCUCUGUGGUGGAACAGAUGUUAAAAUUCUGUGUCACAGUUUUCUUAAUUUCCUAAGAUUGCUGUUCCAUGUAUUUGAUCUUGUAUUUUUCCUCAAUGAUGAGGCUCUUACAUCUCUGAUCAGCCAUUCGCUCGAACAACUCACAAACUACUACUCUCCACUCCUUGAUGCACAGCAUCAGAGUUAAUGAAGGGCUCCACAACAACUUGCAUUUAUAUAGUGCCUUUAACACUUUAAAAUGUCCCAAGGCACUUCAGUGGAACAUGAUCAAACAAAAUUUGACACCAAGCCACACAAGAAGCUAUUAGGGUAGAUGACUAAAAGCUUGAUGAAAGAGCUAGAUUUUAAGAAGUGUCUUAGAGAGGUUUAGGGAGGCAAACAGCUGAAGUUGAUUACUGGGUUGAAUUUGAAUGAAUUAGCAGAUUUCAUUGUUCAAGAUUCACUUGUGGAGUUUUAAAUUAAUCAGCGAAGCUGACUAAGAUUUUCCAACAUUUUUGUUUUUGAUUUGAAUUAAACAACAAAUGUGCAAUACAUUGUUUCCAUUCAAAUGAAUCAACUUUGAAUUGAGAGUACACUAUAGCACACAGUAUAGUGUUUAGGAUAGGAUGUUUAUGAAUCUUCAUGAGUGACAAUCUUGUUGAAGUCUUUGUCUGCAGAAUGAACCUACUAUUGAAACACCACAUAUAUAAUUUUCUACCUCAUAUGGUUGUGAAAAUAAUCUCUGCUGUUAGUAUAAACUCAAUUCACUUUUACAGAAAUAGAUGAAAAAUUAUAAUUCUUUAGAAGAUAUGAAUUAGUCUUUUAUUGAAGGAUACAGAAACUUUUGAGUGCAUCAAAGCAAUCUAAUCCUAGGAGUUGCGAACACCAUCAUUAAAAUGGUACCAGAAAUGUCCAUAGCAUUCUGGCAUUGUGCUUUCUUGAGUUAGUGAAUGCAUUGCCAUACAAUGUGGGCUCAGCUAGAAUAGGACAGAAAUACUCUAAAAGGCUAAGCUACCCAUUGUUGCAGAAGCAUAUUCCCUGUCUCAGAUACAUAAUUAUGUAUUCUGUAGGAGGGGUAAUAAAUAACAUAAAUUUGGGGAGGAAAUAAAUAAGUACCUUCUCUUCGGCUUGUUAGGUUCAUGCUUGUGCGAACGGUUAGAGGAGCUUUUUUUGGGGGGAAAAAAUUUCCACUGUAGUCCCCUGAAUGACCUAGAGGUAGGUUUGCACCCGUAUAGGCUGGAAGAUCCCAGGUUUGAGCUACUUGAUUUCAACCAGGGCGACAAUUGAAAUGCUGCACAUUGCUUCAGUGCUACAUGUUGUUUGGGGGCUGGGGGAGAGAGAAAAGGAAAACCACACUCAGCUGUAAUACCACCCAUGAAUAGUCAACUUGCUCUAGCUGGAUGAAUACCUGAAGGCUGCUAGUGCCUUUGGAAUUAUAGUCCAGGAAGCGUCCAAGCCUUUAGGAGAGGCCGGGAGAAUAGGAUGUAACAUUUUCAAUUUAAAGCUAAUUUGUAAAUUCAUAGCAAAUUUAAAUUUCCAGGAGAAACAAAUUUCUAAAUUGUUUCUCAUAGCCUGUGGCACUGUACUUUGCCCUCGACACGGGCACAAUGGAGGAAGGUUAGACUCUGUUCCAGUUUGGAAGUUUUAAGUAUUAUCUUCCCGUUAUAGCUUACCGUAGAUUCGUUCAUGAACCAGGAACUUUCUUAAUCUGUAUGACUCAGUAUCAUAGUCUUCCCCUGGUCCAUUAAAGCAGCACUUGUAUUAAUAACAAAUGUGUUAGGUAAACUUAAAUGAUGGAUUAUCUCAUAUUUGGAGAUUUGUAUAAACCAGUGAAUUGAUGUUAAAUACCUGUGAUUGUGUUUGAUGUUUUUAAAACAUAAUCGGUUUUUUAUUGGGUUUGUUUCUGAUUUAUAUCAAGUUACUUUUAGUUCCUGAUUGGCGCUAAAGUCUCAGGAUCAGACAUUAUAACUGUGUGCGCUUUUUGUUUUAAUCUUUUAUAGGAGCUUUAUUUUUUUUAACUUCAGAAACUUGCAGAUACGGAAUCGUGCGAUCCCAAUUUUAAACUCUAAUAGUGUGUGAUCAUGUAGAUUUGCUUCUCUGAAACAGCAUUAACAAGGGUAUAAAGAAUGUAAAAUGGCAGCAGAAAUGUAGUGUUUGUUAGUCAGUAGUUGAUAGCUGCAAUUAUGCUGUAAUAGGCAAGUUUAUUUUCAUAGCAGUGACCAAUGAAAUGCAAUUUGCUUAAUUUUUCCUGAGAGUUGCAUUUUAUUUUUGCCCAUUAUUGGAAAGACAAUACAAGUCAAAGACUAGCAGUUAAAUGCUCUAAAAGCAAAGAUUAAACUAUUUUAAGCAACUUAAGGUGAAGAGAAAAGCACAAUUCUGAAUGUAUUCUAAAUGUACAUAUAUCAUUUCAAUCCCUAAGAAAACAGAUUUUCUGUGAAUGGAAAGGUCAUUGUGUUUGGUUAUACAUGUUAGUGUUUAGCCAAAGUCUUGGAACAAUGGGAUAGAAAUUAAACUUCAUUUGUCAAUUUUACUGGGAUAAAACGGGUGCCCUGAAGCCCAAUCCUUUGGACUUCCCAAGGACGUCUGAAAAAUGUCUGACCCAAAAAUUGGGCUAGUUUAUGAAACAAGGGUUUAGAUCCAUUAUCCAUGUAAAUUAGAGUCUUGAUCUCUGUUUCAGGCCCUCUCACCGAAAUUGGGCUGCAAUGACUGAAGUCAGACUUGUUAUUUAUAAAUAAAUUAUUUUGCUGGGCACAAAUUCUGGAUGAUUGGUCGUUUAUAAGAUGGCAUGUUACAGUAAACAUUGUGUUACUGCAAACAGAAAAUAAUGGUGUAAUGUGCUAGUUUUUGCAUUAAUAAAUAUUUGUGGAUUUUUCAUUGCUGUGUUCAGGGAAAGUAAUGUAAAGUUAAUUUUGUUCAAAUAAAGAUUUGUGCAUUUUU